AGUGAACGCUGGCGGUAGGCCUAACACAUGCAAGUCGAACGGCAGCACAGGAGAGCUUGCUCUCUGGGUGGCGAGUGGCGGACGGGUGAGGAAUACAUCGGAAUCUGCCCAGUCGUGGGGGAUAACGUAGGGAAACUUACGCUAAUACCGCAUACGACCUUCGGGUGAAAGAGGGGGAUCGCAAGACCUCUCGCGAUUGGAUGAGCCGAUGUCGGAUUAGCUAGUUGGCGGGGUAAUGGCCCACCAAGGCGACGAUCCGUAGCUGGUCUGAGAGGAUGAUCAGCCACACUGGAACUGAGACACGGUCCAGACGCCUACGGGAGGCAGCAGUGGGGAAUAUUGGACAAUGGGCGCAAGCCUGAUCCAGCCAUACCGCGUGGGUGAAGAAGGCCUUCGGGUUGUAAAGCCCUUUUGUUGGGAAAGAAAUCUUUCAGGCUAAUACCCUGGGAGGAUGACGGUACCCAAAGAAUAAGCACCGGCUAACUUCGUG
rnacentral:rRNA from 1 species